rnacentral:rRNA from 1 species
UCGAGAAUCAUUCGCAAUGGGCGCAAGCCUGACGGUGCGACGCCGCGUGGGGGAUGAAGGCCUUCGGGUUGUAAACCCCUGUCAUUCGGGAACAAGGCUUCGAUUUAUCGGAGAUUGAUAGUACCGGAAGAGGAAGGAACGGCUAACUCUGUGCCAGCAGCCGCGGUAAUACAGAGGUUCCAAGCGUUGUUCGGAUUCAUUGGGCGUAAAGGAUGCGUAGGCGGCGGGGCAAGUCGGGUGUGAAAUUUCGGAGCUCAACUUCGAAACUGCACUCGAUACUGCUCUGCUCGAGGACUGGAGAGGAGACUGGAAUUCACGGUGUAGCAGUGAUAUGCGUAGAUAUCGUGAGGAAGACCGGUGGCGAAGGCGGGUCUCUGGACAGUUCCUGACGCUGAGGCAUGAAGGCCAGGGGAGCGAACGGGAUUAGAUACCCCUGUAGUCC